GUGGAACCACCUGAUUCCAUGCCGAACUCAGCAGUGAAACGCAACCGCGCCGAUGAUAGUGUGGCAGCUGCCAUGUGAAAGUAGGUCACUGCCAGGC
rnacentral:rRNA from 1 species